CCCUUAGAUGUUCUGGGCCGCACGCGCGCUACACUGACGAUGGCAACGAGUUUUUCCUUCGCCGAAAGGUGUGGGUAAUCUUUUGAAACAUCGUCGUGCUGGGGAUAGAUCAUUGCAAUUUUUGAUCUUGAACGAGGAAUUCCUAGUAGGCGCGAGUCAUGACCUCGCGUCGACUGCGUCCCUGCCCUUUGUACACACCGCCCGUCGCUACUACCGAUCGAGCGCCCUAGCGAGGUCGUCCGAUUGUCGCCGAGGCCGGCUUUCGCGAGCUGCGCAUCCGACGAAAAGGCGAUCGAACUCGAGCGCUUAGAGGAAGUAAAAGUCGUAACA
rnacentral:rRNA from 1 species